rnacentral:rRNA from 1 species
GAGUUUGAACCUGGCUCAGGAUGAACGCUGGCGGCGUGCCUAACACAUGCAAGUCGAACGGGUGUACGGGGAGGAAGGCUUCGGCCAGAAAACCUGUGCAUGAGUGGCGGACGGGUGAGUAACGCGUGGGCAACCUGGCCUGUACAGGGGGAUAACACUUAGAAAUAGGUGCUAAUACCGCAUAACGGGGGAAGCCGCAUGGCUUUUCCCUGAAAACUCCGGUGGUACAGGAUGGGCCCGCGUCUGAUUAGCCAGUUGGCAGGGUAACGGCCUACCAAAGCGACGAUCAGUAGCCGGCCUGAGAGGGCGGACGGCCACACUGGGACUGAGACACGGCCCAGACUCCUACGGGAGGCAGCAGUGGGGGAUAUUGCACAAUGGGGGGAACCCUGAUGCAGCGACGCCGCGUGGGUGAAGAAGCGCCUCGGCGCGUAAAGCCCUGUCAGCAGGGAAGAAAAUGACGGUACCUGAAGAAGAAGCCCCGGCUAACUACGUGCCAGCAGCCGCGGUAAUACGUAGGGGGCAAGCGUUAUCCGGAUUUACUGGGUGUAAAGGGGGCGCAGAUGGCGAUGCAAGCCAGGAGUGAAAGCCCGGGGCCCCAACCCCGGGACUGCUCUUGGAACUGCGUG